rnacentral:rRNA from 1 species
UACGUAGGGUGCAAGCGUUGUCCGGAUUUAUUGGGCGUAAAGAGCGUGUAGGCGGCCAUGUAGGUCCGGUGUGAAAACUCGAGGCUUAACCUCGAGAUGUCAUCGGAAACCAUUUGGCUAGAGUCCGGAAGAGGAGAGUGGAAUUCCUGGUGUAGCGGUGAAAUGCGCAGAUAUCAGGAAGAACACCCGUGGCUAAGGCGGCUCUCUAGUACGGUACUGACGCUGAGACGCGAAAGCGUGGGGAGCGAACAGG